UGUACAAUACGCGCCAGGCACUGCCCUCGAAGAUCACGGAAGUGACAGUUGCAUAGAUGCAUAAUUGCAAUCACAUUGCAACAAAUACCAUGCUUAUAUGUUCCAAGUCACAGCAGCAGCCUAGAAGAAGCAGCUACUCUUUUCAGUUGGAUCCUAGAAAAGGUGACACUGGUGCUGAGUCUCGAAGGAGUGGUGAGGAUGUCUCUGUGCAUUAGUGCUGCCGUGAGUGGACCGGGCACUCCAGGAGGUAACAUGAAUUCAAGGAUACCUAUGAAUCACAUACAUAGUUGCCCAUGGAGCAAAGAAUGAGGAUUAGAAACGAGUAAACAGACAAACAAAAAGUUCUGGGACUGACCAAGAAUGAUAUGACAUAACUACUACCUCAACUUGAGGUCUUAUACAAGUAAUUCUCAUGUCCCUUUGUACAUGGAGACACCACCCAAGUUUGGGGAAUAAUGUCUGACUUCAGACACAGCAUUCACACCACAGAUAUGAGGCAAAAAACUGGGAGAUGGGCAAGCUCCUCCAGACUCCCCCAAGAGCCUCUCAGUGCUUCUCCCCAUCCUGUGGGUGGUGACUCCCACGUGUGGUGUGACUCUUGGCUGCUCAGAGCCUUCACGUUAUGUAGGGGAAGAAGAAGGAGAAAACGACUAUUUGGGGACAGCAAGCAGCUUCUGCCACAACAGAAGAGUAACAUCUUUAGGGAAGAUCUCCAGUAGCUGGAAGAGAGAAAGGCAAGAUAAGAAUCUCCAUGAGGAAACCAGCCCUCCCUCCCUGCAAGAAGCAACUGGAAAGCAGAGCACGACAGAGCAAAGCAGUGGGUCUUAACUUUGGACCAGCCGCAUGCUGCCAUCCAGGACUGGACACAUCACUGAUCUCACGCAUACACCCUGCGUGCUCACGAGGCGAAGGAAAGCCGUCUCGGACUUGGGUUCACAAUCACUUCUUUCCCUCGCGAUGAGAAAGCAGAGCCUGCUUUUCAGACGUGGCCGUGCUGGAGGAGGCAGCUCAGCCCAGAAAGGCUGCUGGCGCCAUCUAGUGCUCAGCUGGAGAACCGGCUCAGCGCGCACCCCUGAAUGGGGG
rnacentral:lncRNA from 1 species